AAAAUGUGGGUUUUGACAGCUCUUUCUCGAUUCAAAGAGUCUCACAUCAUUUCGUCCUUGGCACAAUACAAUGAUUUGCGCCACUCUAUUAGCCUACAACCAACCUAAAUGUGUGAAAAAUCGUGUAUACAAAUAUAACAAUGGCAAUAUUGGUGAAACGAAAACAAAAGAGAACAACUGUUUUUUGUGUUGCAACUACGGGCAUAACUUUUAACAAAUUUGGUUUGAUACGGGCAAUCCCAUCAAAAUCGAUCCAGCCUUUUCAGAGAUUGGCCGGAACAAACAGAGAGAGAGACCGACCAAAAUUGUAAAAAUAUUUAUUUUAGUAUAUGUAAGUAUAUGUAUAUCGUAUAGUAUGUGUAUAUCGAUAUGUAGUAUUUAGUAAAAAACGGAUAUUUUAAUAUUAUUACAAGCAGACACUCCAAUUUUAUUUAUCUGUAUCGAUUUGUUCUAGCAGAGAACUUACGUUCUCUGGUAUAAUGCAUUAAAUUAGUAUCCAUUUUUCAUAUUAUUUGCGACAGAUGUCGCUGUAUUAUUGUGGAACUCAUUGCUUUUGUUUGUCGUUUUCUGCUAACCAAGUAUAAUAACUACCUUCCACUUUUUAAUGUAAUUUAAUUUUUCAUACAAACAAAUGAGUGAUGGAGUGAGAAAGAGUUUAAAAUUAAAACAGGUAUGUUGCUUCAGUCUACUGUUGAACGGCGAUAAAACAGGUUCGAACAUUUGUUAAAUAUUGAGUAAAAGCUUUAAUGGUGUAGUUUUAAAUCGACCUAUCCUGUGUACAGAGUGUAGCAAUAUUUUCUAUUUACCAAUACAAAAUAGAUAAUGCUUAAUUGUUUAAAUUAAUAGAAAUACUUGUGAAUAUUGUAAUAUAUACAAAAAAUGGUGAUUAAAUAAUGAAAGCUAUUUAAAUAUCGUUUGUUUUGUGAAGAAAAUUAUAUAUACAUAUUUUUUCAUAAGUCCGAUAUGUGAACCAGUUAAUAUACACACAUAAACAAAUAUAUAUUUGUAUAUGAAUGCAAUAAAUGUAUGUCUAGAGAAAUACCAAGUUUGUAUUCAUAUGUGAAAUUGUGAGACUUUUUAAGUAACUCACAAAAACAACUUACCAUAUCUAUAUCUGAGGAUCUAUGGUACCUAUUUUGAAAGGUCUGCCCAUGAAAGCUUAAGUAACAAAAACUUAGAUAUGAAGGGUAUACACAUAUGUAGAGCAGGUAUGUAGCUUUUUAUCUUUCUAAUUUAAUAUAUAAACCUUUCAUAAGCAGCCAACGGCGCUGGGUAAAAAUGUAAUUUCUUUUAAUUUACAGUCCACCUCAUGACCUUCAUAUUAAAAUGUAUCCCAAAAUUUAAAUAAAAAA